rnacentral:rRNA from 1 species
AACGAACGCUGGCGGCAUGCCUAACACAUGCAAGUCGAACGAGACCUUCGGGUCUAGUGGCGCACGGGUGCGUAACGCGUGGGAACCUGCCCUUAGGUUCGGCAUAACUCCCCGAAAGGGGUGCUAAUACCGGAUAAUGUCUUCGGCCCAAAGAUUUAUCGCCUUUGGAUGGGCCCGCGUUGGAUUAGCUAGUUGGUAGGGUAAAAGCCUACCAAGGCGACGAUCCAUAGCUGGUCUGAGAGGAUGAUCAGCCACACUGGGACUGAGACACGGCCCAGACUCCUACGGGAGGCAGCAGUGGGGAAUAUUGGACAAUGGGCGAAAGCCUGAUCCAGCAAUGCCGCGUGAGUGAUGAAGGCCUUAGGGUUGUAAAGCUCUUUUACCCGGGAUGAUAAUGACAGUACCGGGAGAAUAAGCUCCGGCUAACUCCGUG